rnacentral:rRNA from 1 species
UACGUAGGGUGCGAGCGUUAAUCGGAAUUACUGGGCGUAAAGCGUGCGCAGGCGGUUUGAUAAGCCAGAUGUGAAAUCCCCGAGCUCAACUUGGGAACUGCGUUUGGAACUGUCAGACUAGAGUGCGUCAGAGGGGGGUGGAAGUCCGCGUGUAGCAGUGAAAUGCGUAGAGAUGCGGAGGAACACCGAUGGCGAAGGCAGCCCCCUGGGAUGACACUGACGCUCAUGCACGAAAGCGUGGGGAGCAAACAGG